rnacentral:misc_RNA from 1 species
GAUGAAGAACGUAGCGAAAUGCGAUAAGUAGUGUGAAUUGCAGAAUUCAGUGAAUCAUCGAAUCUUUGAACGCACAUUGCGCCCUUUGGUAUUCCAAAGGGCAUGCCUGUUCGAGCGUCAUUUGUACCCUCAAGCUUUGCUUGGUGUUGGGCGUCUUGUCUCCAGUUCGCUGGAGACUCGCCUUAAAGUAAUUGGCAGCCGGCCUACUGGUUUCGGAGCGCAGCACAAGUCGCGCUCUCUUCCAGCCAAGGUCAGCAUCCACAAAGCCUUUUUUCAACUUUUGACCUCGGAUCAGGUAGGGAUACCCGCUGAACUUAAGCAUACAAUAAGCGGAGA